AUUGAACGCUGGCGGCAGGCCUACCACAUGCAAGUCGAACGAGUGGCGGACGGGUGAGUAAUGUCUGGUAAACUGCCUGAUGGAGGGGGAUAUCUACUGGAAACGGUAGCUAAUACCGCAUACCAUCGGAUGUGCCCAGAUGGGAUUAGCUAGUAGGUGGGGUAAAGGCUCACCUAGGCGACGAUCCCUAGCUGGUCUGAGAGGAUGACAAGACACACGGGAAAUGAGACACGGUCGAGACUCCUACGGGAGGCAGCAGGGGGGAAUAGUGAACAAUGGGCGCAAGCCUGAUGCAGCCAUGCCGCGUGUAUGAAGAAGGCCUUCGGGUUGUAAAGUACUGUCAGCGGGGAGGCGUUACCCGCAGAAGAAGCACCGGAGAAAGCCGUGCCAGCAGCCGCGGUAAUAC
rnacentral:rRNA from 1 species